rnacentral:rRNA from 1 species
ACCGGAAACGGUGAUUAAUACCGGAUAUGACCACGCUUGGCAUCGGGUGUGGUGGAAAGUUUUUCGGCCAGGGAUGUGCUCGCGGCCUAUCAGCUUGAUGGUGAGGUAAUGGCUCACCAUGGCUUCGACGGGUAGCCGGCCUGAGAGGGUGACCGGUCACACUGGGACUGAGACACGGCCCAGACUCCUACGGGAGGCAGCAGUGGGGAAUAUUGGACAAUGGGCGGAAGCCUGAUCCAGCAACGCCGCGUGAGGGAUGACGGCCUUCGGGUUGUAAACCUCUUUCGCCUGUGACGAAGCGCAAGUGACGGUAACAGGUAAAGAAGCACCGGCCAACUACGUGCCAGCAGCCGCGGUAAUACGUAGGGUGCGAGCGUUGUCCGGAAUUAUUGGGCGUAAAGGGCUCGUAGGCGGUUUGUCGCGUCGGGAGUGAAAACGCCGUGCUUAACACGGCGCUUGCUUUCGAUACGGGCAGACUAGAGGUAUUCAGGGGAGAACGGAAUUCCUGGUGUAGCGGUGAAAUGCGCAGAUAUCAGGAGGAACACCGGUGGCGAAGGCGGUUCUCUGGGAAUGACCUGA